AGGAGAGUUUGAUCCUGGCUCAGGACGAACGCUGGCGGCGUGCCUAACACAUGCAAGUCGAACGAAGCUUGAUGAAUGAAUUCUUCGGAAUGAUUUCUGAUAUGACUUAGUGGCGGACGGGUGAGUAACGCGUGAGCAACCUGCCUUUCAGAGGGGGAUAGCGUUUGGAAACGAACGAUAAUACCGCAUAACAUCAUUUUACUGCAUGGUAGAAUGAUCAAAGGAGUAAUCCGCUGAAAGAUGGGCUCGCGUCUGAUUAGAUAGUUGGUGGGGUAACGGCCCACCAAGUCGACGAUCAGUAGCCGGACUGAGAGGUUGAACGGCCACAUUGGGACUGAGACACGGCCCAGACUCCUACGGGAGGCAGCAGUGGGGAAUAUUGCACAAUGGGGGAAACCCUGAUGCAGCAACGCCGCGUGAGGGAAGACGGUUUUCGGAUUGUAAACCUUUGUCUUUGGUGAAGAAGAAGUGACGGUAGCCAAGGAGGAAGCCACGGCUAACUACGUGCCAGCAGCCGCGGUAAUACGUAGGUGGCAAGCGUUGUCCGGAAUUACUGGGUGUAAAGGGAGCGCAGGCGGGUCUUCAAGUCAGCUGUGAAAACCACGGGCUUAACCUGUGGACUGCAGUUGAAACUGUAGAUCUUGAGUGAAGUAGAGGUAGGCGGAAUUCCGAGUGUAGCGGUGAAAUGCGUAGAUAUUCGGAGGAACACCAGUGGCGAAGGCGGCCUACUGGGCUUUAACUGACGCUGAGGCUCGAAAGUGUGGGGAGCAAACAGGAUUAGAUACCCUGGUAGUCCCCU
rnacentral:rRNA from 1 species